rnacentral:rRNA from 1 species
GACGGAGGAUGCAAGCGUUAUCCGGAAUGAUUGGGCGUAAAGCGUCCGCAGGUGGCAGUUCAAGUCUGCUGUCAAAGACCGGGGCUUAACUUCGGAAAGGCAGUGGAAACUGAACAGCUGGAGUACGGUAGGGGCAGAGGGAAUUUCCGGUGGAGCGGUGAAAUGCGUAGAGAUCGGAAAGAACACCAACGGCGAAAGCACUCUGCUGGGCCGACACUGACACUGAGAGACGAAAGCUAGGGGAGCGAAUGGG